AAUUUUUUUUUUUUAGGCUGCUGAGAAACUAGGUGAAACUGAGAAACUUAGUAUAAUGAUUGAAGAAUGUGGAGGCUUGGACAAAAUUGAAGCUCUACAAAACCAUGAAAAUGAGUCUGUAUACAAGGCUUCAUUAAACUUGAUUGAGAAGUAUUUCUCUGUAGAGGAAGAGGAAGAUCAAAAUGUGCCAGAAACUACCUCUGAAGGCUAUACCUUCCAAGUUCAGGAUGGGACUCCUGGGACCUUUAACUUUUAGAUUGCACAGCUGAGGCAUAAAGUUUGUUGUGUACUAUGUUUAGUAUAAGUUUGUCUUUACUGUUUCUCUAAGAACUCUUUUUAAAUGUGGUUUGUUAUUGUAGCACUUUUUACAAUGAAACUAUACUUGACUUGAACAGUUCCAGACUGUACAUACUGUAUGAAGCUUGGCCUCCGAAUGGUUUCCUAUUUCUGUGUGGAAUUUCAUAUCUAGUAGUGUCCUGUAAAUAAAGAUUAAAUUCCAUCCUUUACUUCA